rnacentral:lncRNA from 1 species
GGGGUGGGAGUGGACGCUUUCGGAGACAACCGGGUGCAUCCAGAGGGGUUAAGCGAGCGCCACCGCAACAUGAACCGAUUUAGCCAGUCAAAGCUACGAUUCUAUGCGUGAGGGAACGUAUGGUAAGAGGGGAAGGAGAUCUUUCACUCACACCAUCUUCUCUUUUUGGCGACUAACUCAUGCUCCUCUCUCUCUCUCUCUCUCUCUCGCUUUCCAGGAAUUGCAACUUUGCUCGCUCGCUCGCUCGCUCGCUCUCUCGCUCUCUUGCACAAAACCGGAAGAGAUGAGGAGACAAUGGAGGAGAAAUUCUCAGGAGGGCGGCAGCGGUCUCUCUUAGACAG